AUGCCGUUGCUGGUACACCAGGACCAAACGGGGUUUCUGUCUGGUCACACUAUCUCCGAGAACUUCUUAUAUGCGGCCGACGUCCUACAUGUGUGCGCUAGAAGAAAAGCCCCCACUAUGUUGAUCAAACUCGACUUCUCAAAAGCUUUCGACUCUGUCUGCUGGCCCUCGCUACUCGCCAUCCUUGGCGCCCGCGGCUUCCCUGACAAAUGGAUCAAAUGGAUCGAAUCACUGCUUACCUCUGGCAAAACGGCCAUCCUGCUAAACGGAAACCCCGGCCCAUGGAUUCAAUGUAAAAAUGGGUUAAGACAGGGGGACCCCCUAUCCCCGUUCCUCUUCAUAAUAAUUUCUGAUGUGCUCCAAAGAAUGAUC
rnacentral:rRNA from 1 species